rnacentral:rRNA from 1 species
UCAGUAGGCGGCCAACUAAGUCCGACGUGAAAUCCCAAAGCUUAACUUUGGAACUGCGUCGGAUACUGGAUGGCUUGAAUUCGGGAGAGGGAUGCAGAAUUCCAGGUGUAGCGGUGAAAUGCGUAGAUAUCUGGAGGAAUACCGGUGGCGAAGGCGGCAUCCUGGACCGACAUUGACGCUGAACGACGAAAGCUAGGGAGCAAACG